rnacentral:rRNA from 1 species
GAUCCUGGCUCAGAAUCAACGCUGGCGGCGUGCCUAACACAUGCAAGUCGAACGCGAGAGGGGCUUCGGCCCUGAUUGAGUGGCAAACGGGUGAGUAACGCGUGGGUGACCUACCUUCGAGUGGGGGAUAACGUUUCGAAAGGAACGCUAAUACCGCAUGACAUCCUGCCUUUGGACAGGCGGAGAUCAAAGCCGGGGAUCGCAAGACCUGGCGCUUGGAGAGGGGCCCGCGUCCGAUUAGCUAGUUGGUGGGGUAACGGCUCACCAAGGCUUCGAUCGGUAGCCGGCCUGAGAGGGCGGACGGCCACACUGGGACUGAGACACGGCCCAGACUCCUACGGGAGGCAGCAGUGGGGAAUUGUUCGCAAUGGGCGCAAGCCUGACGACGCAACGCCGCGUGGAGGAUGAAGGUCUUCGGAUUGUAAACUCCUGUUGAUCGGGACGAACAUCCCUUGGGAUAACACCCUGAGGGACUGACGGUACCGGUUGAGGAAGC